UGUUUAAUAUUAACACUGCAUCGCAUGUCUCCGAAGAGAAGUGAAAGGGCUGAUUGUUGCUGGUUACUGUAUGAUGACUGAAAUCGCAAAAUGCCCUUAAACAAUUAAAUAAACUACAGAACGUUGUGUUUUCUAAAACACGAACGAACUGCAUGUAUUCAAACAGCGCUGCAUGAGCUCGCGGCGCCAGGGUUCAAAGUCCAAAGCGCGAGAAAAAUCUGCGCUGAAAUAGUGUUAUUCGUCAGUUGCUCAGUAACAUUUUUAUUAUUUUUUACAAGGCAUGUGACAAUGCGAUACG